CCAUAUCUUCUCUGGAGCAGCCAUGUGAGCCCCACAAGAGAGGAUGAAUGCUGCUGGCAUCCUGGAUCAGAUAAGUCUUUAUAAGAUAUAUAGAUUAGUAAUUAUGGUUGAUAAUUAAGACUGAGCUAGCAAGUAAGAAGUCCUAGUCAUUGGCCAGCAGCAUUGUACCUAAUAUAAGUCUCUGUGUGUUACUUGGGACAUUAAUGUGGCGGUGGGUGGAACUCUGGCGGCUGGCAGAAAGAUUUAUCAUUACAAUGGUCCUAAAACCUGCCUGAGCAGUGUACCAUGAAAGUAAAACCAUCAAGGCAGGAUGUGGUAGUACACUCCUUUUGUCCCAGCACUGAGGAGGUAGACAGAGGUAGAUCUACAAGAGUUUGAGACCAGCGUGAUCUACAGAGUUCUAGGACAGCCAGGGCUAUGCAAAGAAACCCUGUCUUGAAAAACAAAAACACACAAAAAAAGCAUAAAAUAAAGUAAAACCAUUGUGAGACAUAUAUGAAGAGUGGAGGUUAAAUGAUAGGAAAUAAAUAAAAAUAAUAUAUACGGAGAAAAUUGCCUGCAUUGCUGCACAAAGGUGAAAGGUUAAUUUCUGGAUCCCUUUGUCUCUAUGUGGCAGCCUCAGUGUUCUUUGGGCUCUGGUGUGGGGAAGGGAGGCUCCAGACUAUUUUUCUCUGGGAUCUUGAGAAUCUACCAGGGUCUCUAUAGAUACUGCAGGUUGGGUGCUGCCCUUUCUUUUUCUCUUUUCUUUUUUCCUUCCUUUCUUUCCUUUUUUGUGGUGUUUUUGUUUUGUUUUGUUUUAGGCAGGGUUUCUCUGCAAAACCCUGGCUGUCCAGGAACUCACUAUGUAGACCAGGCUGGCCUCAAACUCACAGAGAUCUGCCCGCCUCUGCCUCCCGAGUGCUGGAAUUAAAGGUGUACACCAGUGCACCCAGCACUGCUGCCAUUUUUGUUUGUUUGCUUGUUGGUGUCAUUGUUUUUUAUAUGACUGUUAGUACACAUCAUCACAAAAACCACAGCUCAUAUUUGAAAUGGAGUAAGAGUUUAUUCUGGAGUCAUUUUGAGCUACCAUGGCCUGGGAAUACAGACUUAGGUCACUCCAAAUCCUGUGUUCCAAAAUGGAAGCAGUUUCAUGAAGUUUUAUAGUUUUACAGAGUAAAGAAAGUCAUAAAGUCAUAAAUUAAGGUAAGUUUAAAAUACAAGGAUAGGUACACCAGAAAGGUGGCUACAGCGAGAAGGGAGAGGCUUUUCUCUUGGUUCAAGGUACCAUCUAAUGACAUUCUUAGCUUUAGGGUUGGUGGGAGCUAGUGGUCCUCUAAGUUCCAAAGGUUUUUAUCUAUUACUCACAAGAUUUAGUUCAAACACCAAGGUGGACAAGAAAUGGCUGUCUUGGAGGGCUAGAACUAGCCAGAGAUGAGGUAACUAGCCUCUGAACCUGCAAUAUUCCAAUCUCCCCCGGGGCUGAAUUCUAGUCAGUCAGCAAGUCUCUGCAAAGAUGGCUUCUUCUGGGCUUUCGCUCACAGACUGCAGACUCUGCUGUUGGAGAGAAGAAGACUGAGGCAGAGAGAUGCUCCCUCACUGGCUUGGGGCACCAGACAGAAGCACCG
ensembl:lncRNA